CAACUCUCCUCUUCCUGUCCUUCCUGCAAUCUGGUCGGCUACAUUGACUCCAUUUCUGGAAGGGAAGGGAAAAACAACACAUACAAGCAAUACAUAAUAUAGCACCAUAAAAGCCUCUCCAGAGUUGGAACCAGACUCAUGGCAAAGAGGGUCUCUUCCAUCCUCCUUCCUGUGAGCAUCAGGUUGGGCUGCAUCCUUCUCGACGGCUUGGAGGAGCCUCUGCUGAAAUGACUCUGACAGCAGAUUCUCGGCAUGAAUAUCCUUGCAGCCCAGACGCGGUAUCUUUCCGGUUCUUUUUUGGUCAGCUUUGAUGAACAACCAAAGUUGAGUGAAUCAAAAUCUGGAGCAAUCCGGAGAACAGGUAACCUACUGGUUAGAGCAUUGGGCCAGUAACCAAAAGGUUGGUGGAUCGAA